rnacentral:rRNA from 1 species
AGAGCGAACGCUGGCGGCAGGCCUAACACAUGCAAGUCGAGCGCCCGUAGCAAUACGGGAGCGGCAGACGGGAGAGUAACACGUGGGAACGUACCCUUCAGUUCGGAACAACCCAGGGAAACUUGGGCUAAUACCGAAUACGUCCGUAAGGAGAAAGAUUUAUCGCUGAAGGAUCGGCCCGCGUCUGAUUAGCUAGUUGGUGGGGUAAUGGCCCACCAAGGCGACGAUCAGUAGCUGGUCUGAGAGGAUGAUCAGCCUCACUGGGACUGAGACACGGCCCAGACUCCUACGGGAGGCAGCAGUGGGGAAUAUUGGACAAUGGGCGCAAGCCUGAUCCAGCCAUGCCGCGUGGAUGAUGAAGGCCUUAGGGUUGUAAAGUCCUUUCGGCGGGGAAGAUAAUGACGGUACCCGCAGAAGAAGCCCCGGCUAACUUCGUGCCAGCAGCCGC